UGGGGGUAUAGCUCAGUUGGUAGAGCACCGCCUUUGCACGGCGGUUGUCAGCGGUUCGACUCCGCUUACCUCCAA
rnacentral:tRNA from 1 species